CGCAGUUACAGACGACCCAUUAGAACGUACACAGUAAUAGCAGACAAACGAACAUGCAACACUGUCCACCAGUUCAUAACUUUCUGCUAAAUGUUAUUUAACACGUAAGACACUUGUAUCUCUAUUAGGACACUGGCGCACCGUGUUUGUGUGUUUGUUUUUUAAUCAGUAGUGUCCCUUUGGCUGCCCGGUAGAUCCCAACGGCAUUUCUGUCCAAUGAGGCUGGUGUCUGAACCUGGGAAAGAGUGGUAGUGAAGAGAGACAAGGUGAGACGGCAGGAACUGGAGGACAUAGGCGAAGCUGAAGACCUGAAGCAGAGAGGAGGAUGGCAGAGGGUGAAAGGGGAACAGAAAAGCAUUUUCAAGAAACUGGAAGGAAGCUUGAAGAAAUAAGCAGGUAGAAGAGCGGGUACACGAUUUAAAGGCCACGGGAGGACAGUAUUGUUACAGUGAAUGAACCGUCCUGUUCCAAAGGCUGUUAUCCUGCGGAUGAGUUCAGUUGGAGCUCCAUCAUUAUUAUUCUAUCACAUCCCCCGGAGGAGAGGGGGAGCCAAGGACGGGACUGGGGCCUGGACCGGGCUGAAUAAAAAACACACACACUUGGAACCGGAGCAGAACCGGGAUGCACACAAGUGAUAUUUGUGCACGGAGAUCAAAAGGCAUUUACCUUUAGAUGUUUCCCCCAAUAUGAAUAUUCAAUGUCCUUAUUGAAAUCUAAUUCAGGUCUCCUUCUCUCAGGGGCAUUUUCAUCAAUCAUAUGCGGCCUGUUGCCUGAGGCCGCAUAUGAUUGACAGCCAAACUUUAGUAACAAGAGAAGGGAAAUAGUGGGGAAUCUGAUGGUCCCCGAGAUUUGAGCAGAGCGAGUUGCUGUGUGAAGCCAAGGAGGGCGGAAAAAUAUAUAAAGACAGAGGUGGAGGGGGCAAUUUAACCUCCUUGCGUGCAUGUGCAAACACAAUGCAGGAGUUUAUGAGUAUUUCCUCUAUGGAAACAAUAGAAACCUUGGCUAACAAACUAUUACUAAUGAAUGUUUUGACGUGUGUUUCUGCAUUUCAGAAUGGUCCCAGGCGUUAUACGCGAACGUUCAAUCACUGGAGGCAGUGAGAGACAAGAACCACUGCUUGAGCGUGUGGCCUAAUUACUUUCAGAAUUUAAACAUUGUUUCGUGACCAUUUCUGAAUUUCUCUGUCAUUUCAGAACUGAACAUAUGACAACUUGGUGCCGAGGGCAACAUACCAUAUUGUUUUCUAAAAUUACAUUUUGUUAUGAUGAGUUCUCUCCCUCACAGACUGAAGACUUAUGAACUCGAUGACCACUAAGUUGGCAAAAUGAGAAAAGCUGCACCCUCUCUCUCUCUCUCUAAUUUUCUGGCUGGAGGGAAUGUCUUUAUGAGAUGUUUGUUUCUUUGUUUUUCUGGCUCAGACAAAGCCACGUAAAUAUCCCUAUGUAUCAAUGAAUAGGUGUUUGUACAGCAACGUUGACAGACACCACCGCUCAGGGUAAACAGUGCGAAUUUAACCUGCAUUUAUACCUUGUCCUAAUAGGUUUUCCACCAAGCUUCUGCAUAUGUCUGACCGGAUUUUAUGGUUCCUUCUUGUGUAUUUGGUUUAAACUUUCCAAAAAAUUUGGCCACAAUCAGAAUGUGGACAAGACCAGGACACAUGUUAGCACCAAGUCUAAACCUGUGUGACUGUUCCACUUUGUUGUAUAGAAACACAUCUGAAAAAUGAACCAUGCAGGAGAUUACACAAAAAGUAAUAAAACAGUGCUUUACAUUGAAUCCAUAGUAUAUGGUUGUCAUUGAUAAAAAAAAUAUACUGUAUAUUAUAAUGUGAACAAAAACAUGUUCGUCA
ensembl:lncRNA